UACGUAGGGACCGAGCGUUGUCCGGAUUCAUUGGGCGUAAAGAGCUCGUAGGCGGCCACUCAAGUCGAAUGUGAAACCUCGAGGCUUAACCUCGAGCCUGCAUUCGAUACUGGGCGGCUAGAGUCUGGUAGGGGGAUCUGGAAUUCCUGGUGUAGCGGUGGAAUGCGCAGAUAUCAGGAGGAACACCGGUGGCGAAGGCGGGUCUCUGGGCCGAUAUCGACGCUGAGGAGCGAAAGCGUGGGGAGCGAACAGG
rnacentral:rRNA from 1 species